rnacentral:rRNA from 1 species
UACGGAGGGUGCAAGCGUUAUCCGGAUUCACUGGGUUUAAAGGGUGCGUAGAUGGGCAGGUAAGUCAGUGGUGAAAUCUCCGAGCUUAACUCGGAAACUGCCGUUGAUACUAUUUGUCUUGAAUAUUGUGGAGGUAAGCGGAAUAUGUCAUGUAGCGGUGAAAUGACUUAGAUAUGACAUAGAACACCAAAUUGCGAAGGCAGCUUACUACACAACGAUUGACGCUGAGGCACGAAAGCGUGGGGAUCAAACAGG